rnacentral:misc_RNA from 1 species
CGCACAUAAAAAGCAAGAUGAAAAUAUGUAGAUAAUUUACAUAUACAUAAAUAAAUGUGUAGUUGUGUGUCAUAUUAUCAUUCAAAAUAUGCAGAGCGUAAUGCAUACAUUGCAUGUAAGCGAAACAUGUACCUCACUGUAUGUACAUAAAAUCUCACAAUCGCGAUUUCUCUGACACUGAUUACUCUUUUAUAAAAAAUACAGUAUUUAUAUGUAAUAUCGCAUUUAACAGUGAAAAAUGCAACUUAUAUGACCUUACUCGCGAACAUUUUAUCUUUUUAUAAAAAUAUAGAAAAAUACACGCAUAUAAUUCUAAUUCUGAUUAAAUAAUUGGUGCACAAUUGGUCGUAAUGUAUUUAGUUAUUAUCAUUUUAUUACACACACACGCACAAGAUGUGAACAUUAUUUUAUUAAAAAGAUCAUCUAUAAUGUACUUUCUGUAAUGUACUUUUUCCGACAAAUGAUAAAUUUUACUUUCGUCUUAACAGGAAGUAAAAAAAGUAACACUAUGUUUUCAACGUGGACACUUCUCACGGGUAUUGUAACCAGCAAACUCUUAUUUUAUAAACUGCUACAAAUGGCACCAAAAUUAUUUAUUUAUUCCUUCGAGGGUCGCUAUUCAGGGUCGGCUUGAAUUAAUGCGUUGUAGGUGCGAAUGGGUUCACCGGCGGUAAUGGUGAACGGUAACGUGGUGCAACUGCCCGGGCAGGUGCAGUCACAGGGUCUGACGUUGGCUCCGUUGACGCCGCCCGCGCACGAGCUGGAGCAGCCGCAUCCGCUGUACGGGCAGCCUCACAUCCAAGUGCAGCACGGCGUCCUGGUGAAAGCGCCGCCGGGUACCGCGGCGCAUCUCACUACGCUGUCGCAUCCGGGUACGCCGCCGGAUACGCCGCCGGUCUCGACCUCGCCGCCGCCGCUGCAGCUGCACCGCGGUGACUCCCGGGAUCCCCGGGAUGCGCGCGAUCCCCGCGAUCGCGGUGGCAUUCUGCUGCAGCUGCAACAGCCGACGGCUCUGGUGCACGAGGAGAUGCAGGUGGGUGCGGGCGGCAUGGGUUGGCUGACGCAAUCGCUGAGACAGGAGCCGCUGGACCUCAGGCCUCACUGCCUCCAAGAGCAAACUUCGGAGCCGCACCACGAGUCUUGGUCGGCCACGCCGACGCAUCACCAUUUCCAAGAAUUGCAACAUCUGCCGCGACCCAUCAGGCACACGAGUGGAUACCUGGCGAUGUCGAGUCAUCUGGAAUAUUAUGGCGGCCCGGGCACAGGAGGCGCGAUGCUUCCCGCGGGUGGGACUGUGAUGCCGAAUAUGGAGGACAGCAUGCAGGGUAUACCGAUGCAAUCGGGCAGACCACUGAGUGUGUGCUCUGUAAGUUCCUGCGGUGGUGGACCUAGCCCGCCUCAUCGUGGGAGCAAUGGCCUGUACUCCAAUUGCAAUGGCUCGAAUGGCGCUCCGGAGGAUGUUAUAAACGACGAACUUCUGAUGUCGCUUUCGGUACGCGAGCUCAACAAACGCCUCCAUGGUUCCCCGCGGGAAGAGGUCGUGCGGCUGAAGCAAAAGCGGCGGACCCUGAAGAACCGCGGCUACGCUCAGAACUGUCGUAGCAAGCGGUUGCAACAACGCCACGAGCUCGAGGCCAACAAUCAGAACCUACAGAACGAGCUUCAGCACCUAAGGAACGAGCUGGCGCGGAUUCAGCAAGAGCGUGAUCUUUACAAGCAAAGAUACGAGAUGUUAAGAACGAGGCAAAAUCAUCAUCAUAAUCAUAACCAUCAUCAACAGCAGACGUCGCAGCAGCAGCAGCAGCAGCAGCAACAGCAACAACAGCAGCAACAUCAGACAGCAGCAACUCCAAAUCAACAACCGCAUCAGCAGCAACAGCAACAGCAGCAACACCAACCAGCACCCGCGAGUCCAGAAGUCUACCUGUGACAUCGACAGCGCCGAGGAGGCGCUUGUUGGACUUGAGAAAUUACUCGUUACGUCGAUGGCUCAUUGCUUGACCAUGGACUGCAAAGAAAAUGUGAGAAGUAGUUUUCCAAUCGCGACUUAAGCGCUAAGCACAUUUUAAGCUAUAGGUGUAUAUAACGCUCGGUUUCAUGAUUUUCUUCGAAUCGUAACCGGAGGCUGGAGGCCUGAUUGCCAAACUGAUCAUAAACAUAUAAGCAGUUACUCUUCGUGUAACUAAAGUAUCAUUAGGUUAAAAAGGCAACUAGUUAAAACCGCGUAAUAUAUAAAUGUACAUGUUAGGCUAGAUACAUCUUCGUCGAAUAUUAUACGAACAAAAGUAAAAAAUGCGCAAAUUGAGCAAUGAGAAGUUUAUGCUACAUAACAUACCAUCAUGAAAUUUAUAUCUUGUUUGUUACGUUAUUUGUUAUAUAAUUCCUAACGAACAGUUUUUAUUGUGAUUUGUUAUUUAUAAUAUUAUUGGAAUUUUAAUCUGCAAUUUCGUUUGCGGUACCAAUGAAAUGUCUCUUUGUCGUCAAUACAUUUUACUCACCAGUCUUUACGUUUAACAAUUAAGAACUCUAUUCUCCUGACUUAUUUUCUAAAUUAUAUUAAUUAUUAAUUGAAUAUACGACAGGAGAGAGAGUACGAGUUUGAGCGUAGAUUACAUAUCAUUUUGCUACUCUUCUUCCUGAUUUUGUCUUCAUAUUCGCGGCAUUCCAUUCUGUGAUUUAGUUAUAUCUGUUGCCGCGUCUAUACGAAAGCUUUCGCGCUCGAUAAACAUUUAAUAUGUCAAUCAUCAUGUAUAUUGUGACAUUUAUCUUUAUAAUUAUUAGGUAUUUUUGGGUCAGAUAUUUAGAUAUUCGUGCAAUGUGAUGCAGAAACCGCGUCUGGCAAUUUUAGACUUGUACGUAUUUGACAUGUGUGAAAAAGAUGAAACGCAAACUUCAUGAGCAAUUAGUAAAAUUUACGCAACACAUACAAAUGAUAAAAAGAUAUAUGUAUUUAUCGUUAAUCAAUAUUGCAAAGGUAAUAUUGUCUGUUUCGGACCUUAUAUUUCAUCUUUUACAUGUGUCAAACACUUACAAAUGCCAAACAGAUAUAAUUUUGAAUUAUGUGUAUUACGUUUAAAUAUUCAUACAUCGUGAUAUAUUUUUAAUCGAUUAUAUUUUUUAUCGGCAAUAUUUUUAAUCAAUUAGCUAAAUAUUGUAUAAUCUGCUAUUUAUUUUUCAAUCGUAUAUUUAAUCUUUGACGCACAUCUGUGACACACAUUUGACAAAUUAUUAGAUAUAGAUCGUGAUACAUGAAAAGAAACAAUUUGUUUACAGCUAACAAAAUGAAUAACGCAGAUCUUAAAGAGCGGUUUUACGCAUUCUAAGAUCAAAAUGGCAAAUUAAAUAUAUUAAGAGUUAAAUUUACAAUGACAUGUAUCUGUGCACGCGAUUGCGUGCAUGUGUAUAUGUGUGUGUGUGUGUGUGUAUAAUGAGUGCACGAAUGCAUGAUGUACAUGAACGUGUGAAUAUGUGUGUGCAUAUUUAAAAAUACAUUUCUCUCAGUUUAUGUUUUGCAAAAUUGGUAUUAUUUCAACUAAAUAUUUUAAGCAUAAGGGGGAGAAAAGGGGGAAUAGCGUUCAGUUUUUAUUACAUAUACAAUCGCCAGCUAUUUUCACACGUGUUGUCAACAGCGCGUUUCUCUCUCUCAUAAUCUAUCAAUAUUUUAUCUUUUUAAUAUUCUCCAAAAUUUAAUAUAUGCAUACAAAUUCUUUCUUAGCUCAUUUUUAUCAUGAAAAUCAUGGCUGAAUUUUUUUAAAUAUUGUUUUUCCUUCGAAACUGCGUUAGUUUCGUAUUAUUCGACUAUGGUGGCAUAAAUUUUUGUGAUGCAUAUUUUGUAAAGAGAAGCUAACUAAUACCGUACCGCGAACGACAAUACGUUGUGAUACGUUAAUUUUAUCGGCAUUAUGAUACAUUUCUGAACGCUAGGCCUUGUUAUCGCGAAUGUUUAAUAAGCAAGAAAGAUUAUGCGAUACAAUGUUUGCAAAUGUUACGCGCUGCAACAUUGAAACGCGAAAGCUACGCUCCCGAUACCAAGUGGCGUAAGACGCAUAUGUUAUUGUUUUGUCGCAUUGGAUUGUAUUGGGUUUAUUAUGAUCGGUCUACCUCCAAUUCGACUUAAGAGUUAAGAAUGUUUUAAUUCUCGUUGCAUUUCAUAUGUAUAUAAAAGAAUAAUUAUUAUACUUCUUAUUAUAAAUAAAUGUCGAUGCCGACAGUUUCAAAUA